GUUGUUUGUUUUUUUGAGCGUUCGGUGGAUGCCUUGGCAUCAGGGGCCGAUGAAGGACGUGGUGGCCUGCGAUAUUCCUCGGGGAGCCGGCUGGCGGGCUGUGAUCCGAGGGUUUCCGAAUGGGGGGACCCGGCACGAGUUAUGUCGUGUCACCUGCAUCUGAAUUGUAUAGGGUGUGGGGGGUGACGCGGGGAAGUGAAACAUCUCAGUACCCGUAGGAGAAGAUAUUCCGUGAGUAGUGGCGAGCGAAAGCGGAUGAUGGUUAAACCGUGUGCGUGUGAUACUCGGCAGGGGUUGCGUGUGCGGGGUUGUGGGGCUGUUCUGUUCCUCUUCUGCCGGAGAGGGGGCGCGUGUGCUGGCUGGUAGCUGAAUCGUCUGGGAAGGCGUGGCGUAGUGGGUGAUACCCCCGUAGGCGGAACUGGUUGGUGCGUGUCUGGGACGGUGCCCGAGUAGCACGGGGCUCGUGGAAUCCUGUGUGAAUCUGCCAAGACCACUUGGCUGCCUGAAUACCUCCUGAUGACCGAUAGUGGAUAGUACCGUGAGGGAAUGGUGAAAAGUACCCCGGGAGGGGAGUGAAAUAGUACCUGAAACCGGGCGCUUACAAGCCGUCAGAGCCUUCACGCACUUUGUGUGUGUGGGGGUGGUGGCGUGCCUUUUGAAGAAUGAGCCUGCGAGUCAGUGGCGUGUCGCGAGGUUAACCCGUGUGGGGUAGCCGUAGCGAGAGCGAGUCCGAAUAGGGCGAUGUGUAGUGGCGCGUUCUGGACCCGAAGCGGGGUGAUCUACCCAUGGCCAGGUUGAAGCACGUGUAAGAGCGUGUGGAGGACCGAACCCACCUAGGUUGAAAACUGGGGGGAUGA
rnacentral:rRNA from 1 species